AAACCCGGGAAGCUAAUACCGGAUAAGAUAUCGAACCGCAUGGUUCGAUAGUGAAAGAUGGUUUUGCUAUCACUUAUAGAUGGACCCGCGCCGUAUUAGCUAGUUGGUGAGGUAACGGCUCACCAAGGCAACGAUACGUAGCCGACCUGAGAGGGUGAUCGGCCACACUGGAACUGAGACACGGUCCAGACUCCUACGGGAGGCAGCAGGU
rnacentral:rRNA from 1 species